rnacentral:tRNA from 1 species
UCCCUGGUGGCUCAGACGGUAAAGCAUCUGCCUGCAAUGCAGGAGACCCAGGUUCGAUCCCUGGGUUGGGAA